rnacentral:rRNA from 1 species
AUACGGAGGAUCCGAGCGUUAUCCGGAUUUAUUGGGUUUAAAGGGAGCGUAGGCGGAUUAUUAAGUCAGUUGUGAAAGUUUGCGGCUCAACCGUAAAAUUGCAGUUGAUACUGGUAGUCUUGAGUGCAGCAGAGGUAGGCGGAAUUCGUGGUGUAGCGGUGAAAUGCUUAGAUAUCACGAAGAACUCCGAUUGCGAAGGCAGCUUACUGGACUGUAACUGACGCUGAUGCUCGAAAGUGUGGGUAUCAAACAGGAUUAGAUACCCUGGUAGUCCACACAGUAAACGAUGAAUACUCGCUGUUUGCGAUAUACAGCAAGCCGCCAAGCGAAAGCAUUAAGUAUUCCACCUGGGGAGUACGCCGGCAACGGUGAAACUCAAAGGAAUUGACGGGG